rnacentral:rRNA from 1 species
GACGAACGCUGGCGGCGUGCUUAACACAUGCAAGUCGAACGGAAAGGCCCCUUUGGGGGUACUCGAGUGGCGAACGGGUGAGUAACACGUGAGUAACCUGCCCUUGACUUCGGGAUAACUUCAGGAAACUGGGGCUAAUACCGGAUAGGAAUCCUUGCUGCAUGGUGGGGGUUGGAAAGCUUCGGCGGUUUUGGAUGGACUCGCGGCUUAUCAGCUUGUUGGUGGGGUAGUGGCUUACCAAGGCUUUGACGGGUAGCCGGCCUGAGAGGGCGACCGGCCACAUUGGGACUGGGAUACGGCCCAGACUCCUACGGGUGGCAGCAGUGGGGAAUAUUGCACAAUGGGCGGAAGCCUGAUGCAGCAACGCCGCGUGCGGGAUGACGGCCUUCGGGUUGUAAACCGCUUUCAGCAGGGGCGAAGCUUGUGGUGACGGUACCUGCAGAAGAAGCACCGGCUAACUACGUG